rnacentral:rRNA from 1 species
AUUGAACGCUGGCGGCAUGCCUUACACAUGCAAGUCGAACGGCAGCAUGCUCUAUCUUGCUAGAUUUAUGGCGGGUGACGGACGGGUGAGUAAUACAUCGGAACGUGCUCUGUUGGGGGGGAUAACUAGUCGCAAGAUUAGCUAAUACCUCAUACCACCUGCUGGUGGAUGUGGGGGACCGCAAUGCCUCGUGCGAUAGUGGCCGCCGAUGUCUGCUUAGCUAGUUGGUGAGGUAAAGGUUCACCAAGGCGACGAUCAGUAGCUGGUCUGAGAGGACGAUCAGCCACACGGGGACUGAGACAGGGACAAGAGUACUACGAGAGGCAGCAGACGGGAAUUUUAGACAACGGGCGAAAGCCUGAUACAGUAAUGCGGAGUGUGUGAAGAAGGCCUUGGGGUUGUAAAGACCUUUUGCGCGGAAAGAAAUGGUUCCGGCUAAUACCUGGCGUGGAUGACGGUAACGGAAGAAUAAGGACCGGCUAACUACGUG